AAUCACUACAGAUUGUCAUCACCAAAAUCCCAGACUAAAAGUUAUAGAAACACAAAACUUACUUACCAGCCGAAUAGAGAACUCGACAAACCAAAGGCACGAUUAAACGAUAGAUUCACAAAUAGAAUUGAAGAAGAAGAAGAACGAAACAACGAUUUACCGAAAAGAGAAAAAAAUGUCAGAAACGACAGAGAAACUUGAAGAAUAACGUUAGAGGAAAAUUUUGGAAAGAGAGAAAAGAUUUGAAAAGAAAGAAUAAAAAUAAAAAUGUAAUCAAAAUAAAACCCCGAUAACUCUCCACUAACAACAUAAUCUUAACUACCUCAGAAUCCCAACUCCAUGAAACUCUAAC
rnacentral:lncRNA from 1 species